CUGAGCAGCCAUAUCACCACUGAACCUAAGCAGGUGUGAGCCUGGUCAGUACCUGGAUGGGAGACCUCCUGGGAAAAACUAAGGUUGCUGUUGGAA
rnacentral:rRNA from 1 species